UACUCUUCCAGACUUGGUCUUCAUUGUUACAAUUGCCCUAGCUCAAUUCAGAAAGCCCUCCAUGAAGAUGAACACCCAUGAUUAACCCUAACACUGUCUUCAUUGUGCCUCACCGUACCAUAACCCUCUCUUCAUUGUGCCUCACGAAGAACCCCUAACCACGACGAAGAACCCCAAUCGAAGAACCCCUAACCGCGACGAAGAACCCCUAACAGCACUCUGUGAAGAACGUCGUCAGUCGUCGGUGCUCGCAAUGCCUUCGUCGAAGAACCCUUAACCCUCAAGCUCACCGAGUCUCACCCUUCGUCGUCAGUCUUCUCUCUUUUCUUGCCACUCUCACCCUCAAGUUCACUGAGUCUCACCUCUCACGGCUGGUCUCGCCGUCGACCUCUCUCUAUCUCUCUGGUAUAUCACUUUUCUUGCGGGUGUUUCAAACUCAAGUUUAUCGCACUCUGCCACCGUCGCUGCUCUAUCGCAAGCUCUGCUUCAGCCAUCACUACUUCCUUCGCUGUAAGUUGGUCCCUGGGCAGGUGGUGGUAGGAAUUUCAAGGUCCUUAUGUAAGUGUCUUUUGCGCAUUUAUGCUUACAAUUUAUUAGUAAGAAAAUAAUUUGAAUCUCUUACAUGAAAUUCUGAUUAGGAGGUGCUAUAAUGUUACUAUGAGUUUCUCAUUACUUAACCCGUUUUCAUAGCCAUUAAUAAAAUCUGAAAGAUAGCCUUAAUGAGUGUUGUCUUCUGCAUUUAGUGUUGUCUUCUAUUUGGGUGCUGAUUGUACUUUUCUGUAUUGGUGGCAUUGAGGUAAUGUGAAAUCAUCCUCCUUUGGCAUCCUGGACAAAUGCAAUGCAAAGAUAAAGUCAUUCACAUUAUAUUAUGAUGAUAGCAAUUGAGUCACUGAUGUAACAAUUAACCGAAAUCAGACCUCAAAAGCAUGCAACCUUUUGUGUAUAAAGCAACAGAGUAAAAACAAAAACAAUUUAAAUUCAAAUUGACUUGGGUAACAUGGUUAAGAGAAUCACUGAAUCAAUAAUCUAUAUCUUUAAUACAUUUUGUAAGGUCUUGUACUAUAAAUGCUGUUCUAGCCUUGUAGGUAUAGUAAAAAUUUCUCUGUCAAUUUUAUAUAUUCUUCUUGGUAUAGCUUUAAUGUAACUUGCACUUGAAUGUUGUCCAGAUUGCUAUUAUCAAAUACAAUCCAAGUAGAAAGUAAUAAAGGAAAUAUUUAAGGAGAAAAUAAAAAAAAUCAUCUUUUAUGCCUCCAAUUUUUACAAAUAAAGGGUAAUGCAAUUGGAAACGAAGUUACCUUGCUUUCCCUUUUCUUUCCCUUCUUGGAUGUUACUUUUAUUUCUUUCUUUCUUUCUUUAUUAGCUAUCCUUUUAGUUGGAAAUAAUGUCUUAAUUCUGUGUUUGACAAUGAAAAGUCAUUAUACACUCAUAAAAUUAAUUUAGGUUUUAAGUUAAUUUAAGUUAAUUUAGGUUUGAAUAGAGUAGUAACUCGUAAAUAAUGAGAAUAAUGUAAUUUUACAUUGCAAGUGAGUUUGAAUGGUUCUGGAGUUGUGGCUUCAUCAGUUCCCAGUUCAUCAGAAUUUAUUUGUAUAAUUAUACUAUCCAUAUAUGUAUUAGCAGCUGGAACUUUGAGAGGAACUGGCUAUCUACUUUGGUUCAAUCAUCUUAUUGACAUGAAGCAAUUUAAUCAAAGGGGUCAAGACUUUUUCAUCAAAGUCCUUAGCUCAGAGUUAGGUUGCUGUUUUUUCAUCCUUCAUCUCUUUUUCCAUUUUGAUUUCUUGUGAAAUAUGUAAAUUAGCUAGUUAGGAUUUAUCCUCGCUGCCUCGAGAAGUUUUUAGCUUUUCAAAUUCGUUAUUAAAAAGAAAGGUAAGUUAUUAGUAAAGUAGGUUAUAAGGGGAUUUACAGAAUUUCAGUAAUGUAAAGUUUUUUGAAUAUGAGCAGCAAGAGAAUUGAACAAAAUUGAAUGGAACUUUUGCUACUGAAUAAUAUUGAAGUAUAUUGAAGGUCAA